rnacentral:rRNA from 1 species
UACGUAGGGGGCAAGCGUUGUCCGGAUUUAUUGGGCGUAAAGCGCGUGUAGGCGGCCAGGUAGGUCGGUUGUGAAAACUCGAGGCUCAACCUCGAGACGUCGGUUGAAACCGUUUGGCUAGAGUCCGGAAGAGGAGAGUGGAAUUCCCGGUGUAGCGGUGAAAUGCGCAGAUAUCGGGAAGAACACCCGUGGCGAAGGCGGCUCUCUGGGACGGUACUGACGCUGAGACGCGAAAGCGUGGGGAGCGAACAGG